UCUCUGCAAUCAAGCAAAGGUUUCUCCUAAAAUGAUUAUUCAUUUUAUUCUGAUGCGAGUUCGUUCCUUCUGCCCUUCAGUCUCAAAAGCUUUGUAUUCUUAAUACCCCAACCAAAACACCUCAUUGUAAAUGUUCACAGCUGGCAACGCAGAAGUUUCUGUGCCCACAGAGUACCUCUGCCUCUAAAUGGAAGAAGCAAGUGAACAGAGGCAUUGAACAAGCAGGGUGUUACGAGCAGACAGUCAGAUUAACAUUCUUCCAUUCCAGCACACAACACACCCUGACACUUUCUUGCUGCCUAUACUUUCUGUAUGUGACAUCGUACGGUAGAGGCUGAUACCAAAACAUGAAUGAGUAACCACAUGGAUCUUCAUCAUGAAAUCUGACAAUUUGGAUGGGAGGAAAAGGCUAAGUAGGAACAACAUACACAACCUUUUCUUUUAUAUAAAUGUAUGAUAAGACUACAGCAUGAGAAAGGAGCUGCUGGACUGCCAAUUAAGGCACAAGAGUUGGGAAGAACAAGUUCACUGGUGUCUUGCAAAACAGUAAGAAACGACUGAUGUACAAUAAAGAUAAACCUGUAAGGUCUAAAUAUAGCAUCUAUAUAUAUAUAGAUAUCAAUAUAGCUAAAUGUCCCCUGUGUAGCCACAAAAAGUUACAUAAUACCAGCUGGUUUCUAAGUUUGUUUUUCUUUAGCGAUUACAUUCUGGGAGAGGGAUUUCAUUUGAAGAAUAUUUACCAGAAAGUUUGUUUUCUGACCACAGUCCUGAAGUGGUAAGGCAUUGCAGCCAGUGCUGCAGAAUCUAUAAAGGAGAAGUCAAUGCUGGAUCUAAUACUAAGAUACAGUUCACUCACAGACAUUCAUCACUGGCUUUUUAUGUUAGCUUGCUCCUGCCUUUUCAUCUAAGACAACUCCAUGAAUUUGGCUGAGCAUCCUGAUCUUCUACUCCUUUUCACAAUAGACAGAUCUGUAGAACAACACAGUCAACGAACAUAGAUAACAUUCUGCUUCUGUUACAAGUCUGUUGGGUACUGCUUAACACGAAAAGAUGUGAGCCUUUUGAGUCACCUCAUUCUCUGUGGUCUCUCUACAGGCUUGUCACUGGCCAAUAAACGUAAGAAGCUUAAAGCAUACCUCAGUGUUUUUUUUUUUAAUUGGAGACCUGUAGAUAUCUAUCACCUUCAUGACAGAUUAGAGAACUGUUUACAUUUUUUUGUGGAAAUACAGCCUCUCACCCAGAAAUAUAAAGAAGAGAGGCUGUAGCAUUGAACUGUAGACGUAUAAAGUAGCUAGAGCAGGGAGUGAAAAGCGUGCUUUUGAGGAAUUGAGCAACAUUCUUCUCAGAGAAAGUGGAGUACACACCCGCUAACAGUGAGAAAAACAGGGGUACAGGAACAAGAAGGAAGUAUUUUCCAAUCAACUCUUGAUGACCUUUUAGAGUUUGGUCAUCUAUUUCUGUUCUACCUUGUACAGUUCUGGAUUACUGCAAGUACAUUUAAAAGGUGAGGGCACCUCAGAAUAGAAUUCACAGUUCAUUAUGACACUUGGAAGCAACAGAACACAGGUCAAGAAAACUUAGCUAUGGGAGGCAUUCACACCUGUGAUGCCAGAGGAACUGGAGAAUCUAACUGCAGUACUGUUUCCAAGGCAACCAAAGCAGCCUCUUAUCACGAUCACUUUUACCAUUAGAGCAUAAACGAAAGGUUACUGGGUAAAUUCUAGUAGCAGCAGCAACAAAUACUCUUUCUAAUAGUCUGUGUCAGAGGCUCAUCAACAUCCAUUUUAACUCAUGCAAUAAAUGGGACAGGGGACUGGAGAAGAGUAAUCAAGAGCUCCCAUGAACACAUGGCCACAGAAGUCUAUGCCAGCUUUUUAUGCAAGCUGUCAGGGGACUUUAAACAUCAACAGUUGGAAUCAGCCUUUUCCCGAUGGGUCUUCUUCUGCACAGAUUCAUGAGAAAAAAUAACAAUAACAUAAACAACAACUUCAAACCAAAGAAAUCUCUU